rnacentral:lncRNA from 1 species
AAGCUACACUCUGGUCGACCAGAGAAACCCCAGGGGCGACACCCACCAUUCCAAACCCUAGUUCACAAGAAAUCCUGCAAAUUGAAGGCCUUAAUCAGUUAGAAAUCGAAAUCCAAGCAUAGAAUCGUGAUCACCUCGUCAAAGGGAUCCUAAGGUAUGGAUGAGUUUCCCUUGGAUGGUGAUCAAGCAUGUUGUCAAGAACCGAACACGCGCAAGGAAUCCGGGACGUCGAGCGGACACGCCGGAGGAGAUACACGCGGAAAAGGAGUGCUUUAA